GGUGGGGUGGCCGAGCGGUCUAAGGCGCUGGUUUAAGGCACCAGUCAUUUCGAUGGCGCGGGUUCGAAUCCCGCCCCCAUCA